AUAAGUGAUAUUUUUGGAUAGAUACUUUCAUUUCAAAUAAUUUGUUUAUCGACAUUCUUUUACUCUUAUACAUUUUUGUACAUAACUAAUAUGUUUAUAUUAAUAAGAAGUAUUAAGAUGAUGAUUUUAGAAUGAUGGUUGCAGGAAUGUUUUUUAAGCAAAAUAAUUUAGCUAAGAAAAUAACCAGAUGGUAUUACCUGCUGCAUUGGCUUUACUGCAGAGUGUAGAUCAUCUCGCUUCUCUAACUGACACUACUUUCAUGGCCAUAAAGGUAUAUCACUUGUGUAUAUUUUCAUAUUUUUCAUUUUUAUCUAUCUAACUUUUAAAGGCUUUAGAAUUUUCAAUCUAGUUUCUAUUAUUUGUAAAAAGAAUGGGGGAGAAAAAAGAACCUAAGCAUAGUUGCUCUUUACAGUUGCUAUUAAUUUCUUGAAAAAUUAAGUUGCUCUUUAUGACGGACUUAAUAUGCAAAGUGUUGCAUUCCUUUGUCUUGAUUUAUCUUGAUGUUUGUCUGGGUUCUAGUUGGGAUUCUAUUCAUUAGUUACAGUCAACGAAGGCAGUCUGACUCAGUUUCUUUUCAAUAGUUGAUGUUGUCGUAUACAUUAUGUUUUAAUUAGAUUGAUGUUAGUAUAAAUUUUCAUGUGAAGUUAGUUUGAAAAGAAGAGAUAUUAUAUGAUAUGCAACUCUUCUUUUUCAGCGCAAAAAUAUUUGUAAGUUGGUCAUACUUAUUAUGAAUAUAGCUCUCUAUUUGUUCUAUUUUACUGCAGUAGAUAGUAGUAAGAACGUUAGUAGUUGCAAUAACUCUUGGACUUCAUCAUUCUUAUAAUAUUUAAUUUGUACUUUGCAGAUUGUCAAAAAGGUGCAGAAUCGUUGGGUUAGCUUUUUCCCUCAACAACAAUUUCAAUAGUUUCAUUCUUUUGAGAUAAUAUACAAGAGCUUAUUUACAGCAGAAACAUGUUAUUAGAUAUGCAUUGAAGCAUCUGUUGGAUUUUUACUUCAACAUCCUCUUUGAUGAAUUACCAUCACUGUCUAACAUUAUUGUAUCUUAUUUUUCUUGUAACUUUAUUGUGUUUGAUGUAGAAAAGUUAUGUAAUGCGGAUGCUAUAAUAACUAUCCAUUUGUGUAUCAGAAAUUUAUUUUGGCUA
rnacentral:lncRNA from 1 species